CCACUGAAGUGUAUAAAUUGGAUUGAUGUUGCGGAAGUAACAAAAAAAUCCUCCUGCCACAACUGAAUGCAAGCAGGACAAACGUAAAAUAAGCGCUACAUUGAGAUGGGUUUGAAGACACCUCCAAACCAAUUUGGAGAAAGUUUUUAGAAGCUUAUAAGAGAUAUUUCAUUGGAGGAUUAGGAUUCUUUACCAUCAAGUAAUGGAGAAAAAUGACUCCAAGAGUCCAGGAAGCAGAGAAGAGCACAUUUUAAAUGUUUCAGUAAGAGGAAAGAUGAGAGCAUAUCUCAACUACAGCCUGUACCCUGAGCCACCCGUGCACCUCGACAGCCUAAAUUGAACCUGGAAGGGAGGACUAGAAAAAGAAGCGUAAAGGAAUCUUAAAUUUUGUCAAGGUGGAGAGAGAACAAAUUUAUAUUUGCUAAGGGGAGAGAAUGGCUUUGAUUAAUAAUAGAACUGCUGAGCUUAAUCACGGGAUCUUUUCUUCUUCUGCCUGCCUAUAGGCACCGAAAGGCAACGGCUCUUCUCAAAGAGAUACAGAAAAUCAAACAUUGGUCAGACUAUUGCAUUCCUUUCAGCUGUACCUAAAAUACACAUAUCAUGUUCCUAAUCCCGAGGGAUCUAAAUGCCACUGUACAAGGAACAAGUCAGAAGUAUAGCUUGCAGUUAAGGUUGAAUGGCAGGAAGGUCAGCAACUUCUGCUUCCCUUGCUACAGAGCACUGCUGCUCCUCAGGCAAGAUGGGCCACAGGGAAUUGAGCCGAAGGCAUCUACAGGGGGAAUAAGAUACCCCAAUGGCUCGAGUAAAUUGUUAGGAGAAGGCAGAAAGCCUUAAAGGAAUAAAGGAAUAACCCUAAUAAAUAGUAGUGGUACUGUAUGGAGAGUAAGAGCACCUGAACUGCUAAGCUGUUACCUGGAUUUCUGCUCACUUGCAACUUUUUUUAAAAAAAACCCUAAUAGACUUUG